rnacentral:rRNA from 1 species
GACGAACGCUGGCGGCGUGCUUAACACAUGCAAGUCGAACGGAAAGGCCCUGCUUUUGUGGGGUGCUCGAGUGGCGAACGGGUGAGUAACACGUGAGUAUCCUGCCCUUGACUUUGGGAUAACUUCAGGAAACUGGGGCUAAUACCGGAUAGGAGCUCCUGCUGCAUGGUGGGGGUUGGAAAGUUUCGGCGGUUGGGGAUGGACUCGCGGCUUAUCAGCUUGUUGGUGGGGUAGUGGCUUACCAAGGCUUUGACGGGUAGCCGGCCUGAGAGGGUGACCGGCGACAAUGGGACUGAGAUACGGAGCAGACGCCUACGGGAGGCAGCAGUGGGGAAUAUUGCACAAUGGGCGGAAGCCUGAUGCAGCAGCGCCGCGUGCGGAAUGACGGCCUUCGGGUUGUAAACCGCUUUCGCCUGUGACGAAGCGUGAGUGACGGUAAUGGGUAAAGAAGCACCGGCUAACUACGUG